rnacentral:lncRNA from 1 species
CUUCUUGUUUCUUUUGAAAUCCUCUCCCCUUCUUCUUCUCUGUCUUUUCCUUCUUCCUGGUUCUGGCAUCAUGGCCAGGACUUCUCCUCGGGGAGCUCAGUCGGAGAAUCCGACUGAUGAUCUUCGGUCGACCCCGGAAGUGGAGGUCUCUUCACUUUCGGGGUCGAAUGUCGAUCGACUUCGGGAUCAGUAUUGUAUCCCGGAGCAGUUCCGACUCUUCGCCCCU